UGACAGUCAUUGAAGAAGUGCUAAAGGCAAUUGGCCUGUGAUAAAGGCAUUGGAGAGGUGGUAAAGGCAUUGGGUCUGUGAUAAAGGCAUUGGAGAGGUGGUAAAGGCAUUGGGUCUGUGAUAAAGGCAUUGGAGAGGUGGUAAAGGCAUUGGGUCUGUGAUAAAGGCAUUGGAGAGGUGGUAAAGGCAUUGUAGAGGUGGUAAAGCCAUUGGGUCUUUGAUAAAGGCAUUGAGAGGUGGUAAAGCCAUUGGAUCUGUGAUAAAGUUAUUGGAGAGGUGGUAAAGCCAUUGGAGAGGUGGUAAAGGCAGUGGAGAGGUGGUAAAGCCAUUGGGUCUGUGAUAAAGGCAUGGAGAGCUGUUAAAGGCAGUGGGUCUGUGAUAAAGGCAGUGGAGAGGUGGUAAAGCCAUUGGGUCUGUGAUAAAGGCAGUGGAGAUGUGGUAAAGCCAUUGGGUCUGUGAUAAAGGCAUGGAGAGCUGUUAAAGGCAGUGGGUCUGUGAUAAAGGCAGUGGAGAGGUGGUAAAGCCAUUGGGCCUGUGAUAAAGGCAUUGGAGAGCUGUUAAAGGCAGUGGGUCUGUGAUAAAGGCAGUGGAGAGGUGGUAAAGCCAUUGGGUCUGUGAUAAAGGCAUGGAGAGGUGGUAAAGGCAUUGGGUCUGUGAUAAAGCCAUUGGGUCUGUGAUGAGUGAUAAGUCUGUGUAGGUGUUUAAACAGGUGUUGAUGUGUUGGUGAGGUUUUUAGGCACUGGGCAGUUGUUGAGACUUGGAUUAAGUGUUGUGCCUUCGGGCAGGUGUUGCAGUUUUU
ensembl:lncRNA